AAAAGUUCCAAGAGAAGUUCGUACUAGAUGGAAUUCUUUGUAUCAAAUGCUUGAAGUUGCUUCAAUACAUCGUGAACCUAUACAAUUAGUUUAUAAUUCCAUUAAUUCGAAUAAGGCUAGGUUCUGAUGAUUGGAUUGAAGUUGAAGAACUUUGUAAAUUUUUAAGAACUUUUUAUCAAGCUACGAACACAAUAUCUGCAC
rnacentral:lncRNA from 1 species